UACGUAGGGUGCGAGCGUUAAUCGGAAUUACUGGGCGUAAAGCGUGCGCAGGCGGUUUUGUAAGCCAGGUGUGAAAUCCCCGGGCUCAACCUGGGAAUGGCAUUUGGGACUGCAAGGCUGGAGUGCGGCAGAGGAGACUGGAAUUCCUGGUGUAGCAGUGAAAUGCGUAGAUAGCAGGAGGAAUACCGAUGGCGAAGGCAGGUCUCUGGGCUGACACUGACGCUCAUGCACGAAAGCGUGGGGAGCAAACAGG
rnacentral:rRNA from 1 species